GACAAUAUUAGCUCUUGAUUUAUUCUGGGAGUAAAUUUAGUUAUAAAAUUAGAGUAUCAGAAAUGUCCAUCAUAGUUAAAAAAUGAUGUAUCAGAAAGGUCCAUCAUAGUUAAAAGACUAAAUAAAAACAGAUACCGUGCUCGCUUCAGUAAAAUUGAAACGAGCUUUCUGCUGGAGCAGCCAUCUUCCAGUGAUUCGCCAAAAUGACAAACACAAAGGCAAAGAGGAGAGGCACCCACUACAUGUUCUCUAGGCCUUUUAGAAAACAUGGAGUUGUUCCUUUGGCCACAUACAUGCGAAUCUACAAGAAGGGUGAUAUUUUAGACAUUAAGGGAAUGGGUACUGUUCAAAAAGGAAUGCCCCAUAAAUGCUACCAUGGCAAAACUGGGAGAGUCUACAACGUCACUCAGCAUGCUGUUGGCACUGUUGUAAACAAGCAAGUUAAGGGCAAGAUUCUUUCCAAGAGAAUUAAUGUGUGUAUUGAGCAUAUUAAGCACUCUAAGAGCCGAGACAGCUUCCUGAAACGCGUGAAGGAAAAUGACCAGAAAAAAAGGAAGCCAAAGAGAAAGGAUCCUGGGUUCAACUAAAGCACCAGCCCGCCCCACCCAGAGAAGCACACUGUGAGAACUAACAGAAAGGAGCCUGAGCUGCUGGAGCCCAUUCCCUAUGAAUUCAUGGUUUAAUGUACUGGAAGAAAU